UACGGGGGGGGCAAGCGUUGUUCGGAAUUACUGGGCGUAAAGGGCUCGUAGGCGGCCAACUAAGUCAGACGUGAAAUCCCUCGGCUUAACCGGGGAACUGCGUCUGAUACUGGAUGGCUUGAGUUUGGGAGAGGGAUGCGGAAUUCCAGGUGUAGCGGUGAAAUGCGUAGAUAUCAGGAGGAACACCGGUGGCGAAGGCGGGUCUCUGGGCCGUUACUGACGCUGAGGAGCGAAAGCGUGGGGAGCGAACAGG
rnacentral:rRNA from 1 species